AGCAGCCGCGGUAAUUCCAGCUCCAAUAGCGUAUAUUAAAGUUGUUGCAGUUAAAAAGCUCGUAGUUGAAUUUCGGGAUCAAAGGAUCGGUCAUGCCUUGGUAUGUACUGGUUUUAUUGGUUCUCACCUUCUAAAGAACCAUAAUGUCAUUCAUUUGAUGUUAUGGGGAAUUAGGACUGUUACCUUGAAAAAAUUAGAGUGUUUAAAGCAGGCUUACGCUUGAAUACAUUAGCAUGGAAUAAUGAAAUAGGACAUCAGAUUCUAUUUUGUUGGUUUCUAGGAUCGAUGUAAUGAUUAAUAGGGAUAGUUGGGGGCAUUAGUAUUCAAUUGUCAGAGGUGAAAUUCUUGGAUUUAUUGAAGACUAACUACUGCGAAAGCAUUUUGCCAAGGAUGUUUUCAUUAAUCAAGAACGAAAGUUAGGGGAUCGAAGACGAUCAGAUACCGUCGUAGUCUUAACCAUAAACUAUGCCGACUAGGGAUCGGAUGAUGUUAAUUUUAUAAUGACUCAUUCGGCACCUUA
rnacentral:misc_RNA from 1 species